rnacentral:sRNA from 1 species
GCUAGGCAGCCACCACAGGAAAGCAGAAAGGGCAUCUCUCAAGGGUUGCAUACCUUCCUGGUCCAAUAAGAAUAUGAGAGACAAAUGCAGCUUCUACUUCUCCCAGGCAUUUCAAAUUAGUGCCUUGCUGUGUGAUAGUGAGUUCUUUGCUCAACCCCUCUGGACUCUCACCAUUUCAUCCCAUUCUUUAUUCCCCAGACCAACUCCAGGCUGAUAGGAAAAAAGAUGAAAACAGAUUCUUCAAAAGCAUGAAUAAAAAUGACAUGAAGAGCUGGGGCUUGUUACAGAAAAAUAAUCAUAAAAUGAACAAAACCUCAGAGCCCAGGUCAUCUUCUGCAGGUAAGAGUCCUGUCUCUGAAUACUAAGGGACCUCUAAGUCUACAGGUGGUCAAAAUGCUGUAUCCACCCAAUUCCACUAAAUGGAAUAAAUGAAUAAAUGAAUGAAUUCAUUUAUUCCAUUUCCUCAGUUCCUCCCCAAAUUACACCUCUGCCAGGAAACAGAGGGCGCUC